rnacentral:rRNA from 1 species
GAUGAACGCUGGCGGCGUGCCUAAUACAUGCCAGUCGAGCGAACAGACGAGGAGCUUGCUCCUCUGACGUUAGCGGCGGACGGGUGAGUAGCACGUGGAUAACCUACCUAUAAGACUGGGAUAACUUCGGGAAACCGGAGCUACUACCGGAUAAUAUAUUGAACCGCAUGGUUCAAUAGUGAAAGACGGUUUUGCUGUCACUUAUAGAUGGAUCCGCGCCGCAUUAGCUAGUUGGUAAGGUAACGGCUUACCAAGGCGACGAUGCGUAGCCGACCUGAGAGGGUGAUCGGCCACACUGGAACUGAGACACGGUCCAGACUCCUACGGGAGGCAGCAGUAGGGAAUCUUCCGCAAUGGGCGAAAGCCUGACGGAGCAACGCCGCGUGAGUGAUGAAGGUCUUCGGAUCGUAAAACUCUGUUAUUAGGGAAGAACAAAUGUGUAAGUAACUAUGCACGUCUUGACGGUACCUAAUCAGAAAGCCACGGCUAACUACGUG